rnacentral:rRNA from 1 species
AAUCUAGUAACAAUUGGAGGACAAGUCUGGUGCCAGCACCCGCGGUAAUUCCAGCUCCAAAAGCGUAUAUUAAUGCUGUUGCUGUUAAAGGGUUCGUAGUUGAACUGUGGGCUGUGUAGGUUUGUUCCUGGUCGUCCCGUCCAUGUCGGAUUUUGGUGGCCCAGGCCCUUGCAGCCCGUGAACAUUCAAAGAAACAAGAAACACGGGAGUGGUUCCUUUCCUGACUCACGCAUGUCAUGCAUGCUGCAGGGGGCGUCCGUGAUUUUUACUGUGACUAAAGAAGUGUGACUAAAGCAGUCAUUUGACUUGAAUUAGCAAGCAUGGGAUAACAAAGGAGCAGCCUUUAGGCUACCGUUUCGGCUUUUGUUGGUUUUAAAGGUCUAUUGGAGAUUAUGGAGCUGUGCGACAAGUGCUUUC